ensembl:misc_RNA Metazoa_SRP Metazoan signal recognition particle RNA
GCCGGGCACAGUGGCUCAUGCCUGUAAUCCCAGCAAUUUGGGAGGCUGAGGUGGGAGGAUCACUUGAGCCCAGGAGAUCAAGGCUGCAGUGAGCCAUGAUUGCACCACUGCACUCUAGCCUGGGCUACAGAGUGAGACUCUGUUUCAA